GCAUGCAUUUGAAUAAUUUUUAAUAACAAAACAAAUAAUCAGAUUUCUAAGUGAAUUUAGUAUAAAAAGACCGGUCCUAUUGGCUUGGAAGAAUCAUUUAGAUUUCAAUACUCAAUCAGGUACCACCUACCUCUUACUCAUCAAGAAUAAUACCUCGUAUAUAGAAUCGAUUGAAAUGAAUUUCAAGGCUACAAUUUUAAUGAAUUUGUUAUUUGUAAUAUUGCUCUGUAUUACAAUUGCAAAAUCAUCUUAUGCACCAGUACUUGUUCAUCAGCCUGCAAUUCCCCAGGGAUCGUCAAAUCAUGGUGGGGGCUCAUCGUCUGGCCAUUCUUCAAGGAACCUUGCUAGAUCAAAAAAUAACAGCGGUUUGUAAAUCACAAAACUUUCUCUCAAAUAAAAACAUAAUCAAAAUCUA